rfam:Mesocricetus auratus contig067342, whole genome shotgun sequence.
GGAUGUGAGGGUGUUCUGGCUGUGACCCCAUUGAUCGCCAGGGUUGAUUCAGCUGAUCUGGCUGACUGGGCAGGUGUCCCCUUUCUCCCUCACCACUCCAUGUGUGUCCCUAUUGAAGCCUCGCGCUCAGUCAAAGAGGACAACCUUCCUCGAAUAGAGGAUGAUCAGUCUUUCAUCAAGGGUAUACGAGUAGCUGUGCUCCCCUGCUACAACCUCCAAACAAGCUCUCAAAAUUUUUUAUUGUUCUUAGUAUUAAUUCUUAUGCACUGUAUAUGCUUUAGGUAUCUUUAUAUUGU